rnacentral:misc_RNA from 1 species
GAUGAAGAACGCAACGAAAUGCGAUAAGUAGUGUGAAUUGCAGAAUUCAGUGAAUCAUCGAAUCUUUGAACGCACAUUGCGCCCCUUGGUAUUCCAUGGGGCAUGCCUGUUCGAGCGUCAUUUGUACCUUCAAGCUUUGCUUGGUGUUGGGUGUUUGUCUCGCCUUUGCGUGUAGACUCGCCUUAAAAUAAUUGGCAGCCGGCGUAUUGAUUUCGGAGCGCAGUACAUCUCGCGCUUUGCACUCAUAACGACAGCGUCCAAAAGUACAUUUUACACUCUUGACCUCGGAUCAGGUAGGGAUACCCGCUGAACUUAAGCAUAUCAAUAAGCGGAGGA